CUACUUAUGUGCCUAUAAUUUGCUGAAGAAAAUGACCUUUUGUUUAUUUAGCUCAACCUAAGCUUUUGCCUUUCUUGGAUUUCUUCUGGAGUUGGAAGCAAAAAUGGCCACCUGUGAAGAACAACUGGUGAGAGAAAACGUGGUUAAAGUUUUGCCCAAGACAAGGAUUCUCAAAUAUUAGAUUCUAAGCACCUGCUUGAAAUAGUAUCUUAUCGUAUUUUGGCAGCAAGUCUUGAUCAAAGCAUGUAAGCAGUGAAGCAAAUCAGAUGGUAGAUUGUUUAGCUAA